AAGUCGAGCGAACAGAUAAGGAGCUUGCUCCUUUGAAGUUAGCGGCGGACGGGUGAGUAACACGUGGGUAACCUACCUAUAAGACUGGGAUAACUUCGGGAAACCGGAGCUAAUACCGGAUAACAUUUAGAACCGCAUGGUUCUAAAGUGAAAGAUGGUUUUGCUAUCACUUAUAGAUGGACCCGCGCCGUAUUAGCUAGUUGGUAAGGUAACGGCUUACCAAGGCGACGAUACGUAGCCGACCUGAGAGGGUGAUCGGCCACACUGGAACUGAGACACGGUCCAGACUCCUACGGGAGGC
rnacentral:rRNA from 1 species